CACGAACUGCGCAAACGUUAUUCGGAAUUACUGGGCUUAAAGAGUUCGUAGGCGGCUUGGCAGGUGAGGUGUGAAAUCCCUCGGCUCAACCGAGGAAUUGCGCUUCAAACCGCCAAGCUUGAGGGAGGCAGAGGUGAGUGGAACUGAUGGUGGAGCGGUGAAAUGCGUUGAUAUCAUCAGGAACACCAGUGGCGAAGGCGACUCACUGGGCCUCUUCUGACGCUGAGGAACGAAAGCUAGGGGAGCGAACGGG
rnacentral:misc_RNA from 1 species